GGAGAGGUGGCUGAGUGGCUUAAAGCGACGGUUUGCUAAACCGUUGUACGCCCAAAAGGUGUACCGGGGGUUCGAAUCCCCCCCUCUCCG
rnacentral:tRNA from 1 species